rnacentral:rRNA from 1 species
UACGAAGGGGCUAGCGUUGCUCGGAAUUACUGGGCGUAAAGGGCGCGUAGGCGGAUGUCUAAGUUGGGGGUGAAAUCCCGGGGCUCAACCUCGGAAUUGCCUUCAAAACUGGAUAUCUUGAGUUCGGGAGAGGUGAGUGGAACUCCGAGUGUAGAGGUGAAAUUCGUAGAUAUUCGGAAGAACACCAGUGGCGAAGGCGACUCACUGGCCCGAUACUGACGCUGAGGCGGCGAAAGCGUGGGAGCAAACA